rnacentral:rRNA from 1 species
UAGCCUGCCCACUGAUUUGUUUUAAAGGGCCGCGGUAUAUUGACCGUGCGAAGGUAGCAUAAUCAUUAGUCUUUUAAUUGGAGGCUUGUAUGAAUGGUUGGACAAAAAGUAAGCUGUCUCGAUUAUAAUAAUUGAACUUAACUUUUAAGUGAAAAGGCUUAAAUGUUUCAGGGGGACGAUAAGACCCUAUAAAGCUUGACAAUAACUUCGUUAUAUUAUAAAUUGUUAGUAUAACUUGAUUUUAACGGGGGUUUGUUUCGUUGGGGCGACGGGAAUAUAAUAAAUAACUGUUCUUUUAAAUAUAAUUACAAAAAUGUUUGGAAAAUAAUUGAUCCUCUAUUAGAGAUUAAAAGAUUAAGUUACUUUAGGGAUAACAGCGUAAUCUUCUUUGAGAGUCCACAUCGACAAGAAGGUUUGCGACCUCGAUGUUGAAUUAAGGUAUCCUUAUAAUGCAGCAGUUAUAAAGGA